AGAGGGCAGCCAAGUCGUGAGGCGGAGCUAAUCCCUUAAAGCCAUUCUCAGUUCGGAUUGUAGGCUGAAACUCGCCUACAUGAAGCUGGAGUUACUAGUAAUCGCGGAUCAGCAUGCCGCGGUGAAUACGUUCCCGGGCCUUGUACACACCGCCCGUCACACCAUGGGAGCCGGUAAUACCCGAAGUCAGUAGCCUAACCGCAAGGGGGGGCGCUGCCGAAGGUAGGAUUGGCGACUGGGGUGAAGUCGUAACAAGGUAAC
rnacentral:rRNA from 1 species